UACGUAGGGUGCAAGCGUUAAUCGGAAUUACUGGGCGUAAAGCGUGCGCAGGCGGUUUUGUAAGUCUGUCGUGAAAUCCCCGGGCUUAACCUGGGAAUGGCGAUGGAGACUGCAAGGCUGGAGUUUGGCAGAGGUGGGUAGAAUUCCACGUGUAGCAGUGAAAUGCGUAGAGAUGUGGAGGAACACCGAUGGCGAAGGCAGCCCCCUGGGUCAAAACUGACGCUCAUGCACGAAAGCGUGGGGAGCAAACAGG
rnacentral:rRNA from 1 species